UUGAAUCCAGUGAAGAGGAAGAGUAAUUAAGAGAUCAAGUAGUCUAGAGAGGAAAGGUCGCGGCUGAGAGCCUUCCCUAUUUGUCUUAAUGAAAGAACACCUCUGAGGAGUUUCUCUGAACGUCUUCAGGUUAGUAGGAGAAAACGUGAACAGGCGUUAACUGUUUAAAGUGGAAGCAUAGGCUUCAAGUAAGGGUGGCACCACGGGUAUAACUCUCGUCCCUGAU
rnacentral:ncRNA from 1 species